rnacentral:misc_RNA from 1 species
AAACUUUGAGUUGUGUUCAUCAAUGGCUUCCAGUCCUCGAACACGACCAUCUUCUCAAAGCCCUAACCCUAAACCCACCAAAAACAAAACUUCCUCUUCUUCUUCUGCUUCUCGUCCUUCUACAUCAUCCAGAAGUAUUCCUUUACAACCUUCCUCAAACUUAUUCCCUUCCUCUAAAUCAGAGUUUUCAAGGCUCAUCGCCGUCGUCGUCGUUGCCUCCGCCGUCGCAUUUUCCUGCAACUAUGUUUUCACCUAUCUCAAUAGCCA